AUUGAACGCUGGCGGCAUGCCUUACACAUGCAAGUCGAACGGCAGCACGGGUGCUUGCACCUGGUGGCGAGUGGCGAACGGGUGAGUAAUACAUCGGAACAUGUCCUGUAGUGGGGGAUAGCCCGGCGAAAGCCGGAUUAAUACCGCAUACGAUCUACGGAUGAAAGCGGGGGACCUUCGGGCCUCGCGCUAUAGGGUUGGCCGAUGGCUGAUUAGCUAGUUGGUGGGGUAAAGGCCUACCAAGGCGACGAUCAGUAGCUGGUCUGAGAGGACGACCAGCCACACUGGGACUGAGACACGGCCCAGACUCCUACGGGAGGCAGCAGUGGGGAAUUUUGGACAAUGGGGGAAAGCCUGAUCCAGCAAUGCCGCGUGUGUGAAGAAGGCCUUCGGGUUGUAAAGCACUUUUGUCCGGAAAGAAAUCCUUGGCUCUAAUACAGUCGGGGGAUGACGGUACCGGAAGAAUAAGCACCGGCUAACUACGUG
rnacentral:rRNA from 1 species